UGCUGAGAGAAAUGAGGACUGCGGCUGACUAUCUCAUGAGGCUUUAUUGGCCACAAGAGCUUUAUUAGGAAUUUUACCAGGGGCCACUCACAUGUUUGGCUUAGAAUGUGCGUGUACUGAUUGUACUGUGGCUAAAUAAUCAGAUAAAUUUAAUAAAGAAUUAUUGCCAUUGAAGAGACCGCAUUUUGCAUUGGCUUCGGUGUGAUUGCCUUAUCCCUCAGUUAUGUCCCUCAGAUGCAACCAUAUUUAAUUAGUUUUGUUGUUGUUAAUUUUACACAAGCACAGACUUAAGAAAUUUCAAACAUUUAAAUAGAAUUUAAACUCUUCAGGAUUGGAAUUUUUGGAGACGUGGGUUCUUCUUGGAGUUAGAGAAUGCUUUACAUUUUGGCAUUAAGAUGACUUGAGACUUUGGGGAAAAAUAGGUGCAAAAUUACAGAUCAAUGUGACAUGUUUGUGUGUGAAGUGGACAGGGCUGUUUGUGUGGAUGAUCUGUAUUUCUUAGUUUUAACAGCCAACUUGACAGGACCUUAAAUAAGUAGAGACUAUCUAGGUCAGGUUAGCCUGUUGGUAUGUCUUCAGGGGAUUGUCUUAAUUGUUAAUUUAUAUAAGAGGACUCACUCUAAAUGUGAGUGUCACCAUUUCAUGAGUUUGGCCCUGAACUGUAUUAUAGUGGAGUGGGCGAUCUACAUAGGGAAAUAAGCUGAAGCGCUGAAAAAUUCAUUUCUUUCUGCUCUUGACUGUGGAUGUGAUAUGACCAGCUGUCUCAAAAAAAAAAAAAAAAAAAAAAAAAAAAAAAAAAAAAAAAACUGCUUCUCUGACUCUGCUGUAAUGAAAGAUUGUUAUGGGAAAUUAUAGACCAAAAUAACUCCUUUCCCCUUAUUUGACUAUUUGCCAGGCUAUUUUAUUACAUCAAUAGAACUGAAACUGGAAAAUCAGGUAACAUAAUUGAUAGCUGUCAGUGAAUUGUGGGAUGGCAGCAUAAACAAAGUGUUUUGUUCUAUUUCCAACACUGAUAAUCUUUAAAAAUGUUAUGGUAUAAACUUUGUAGCUGUUCUGUGAAUGAAUUAAAAGAUAAUGGGUUUAUCAGAGCUGCUGUAUUUUUGCCUGUCAUAAUCACUAACUGAAAAUCAUCUGUCCAUACCCUUCCCUUCUCUCCUCUUCCCUCCCUUAAAAUAUAUUUUCUCCAUAGUUUUCUAUAUUCUGAUACACACCCAUUUUGUACCUAUGAUAAUAAAUGGAUAAAUUUUCCCAUCUUAAGAAUAGUAUAAAAUCAAAAUACAUGCUAUUAAUUUUCAUAUUAUAUAUUAUAGAUUUGAUUGGCUACUGAGGUCAGUUAUAUGGGCAAUUUAGCCACUAGAUGGAUAUUCAAAGUGUUUCAGAUAAAAAUGUUCAAGCAUCCUGGAAAACCAUAUCUAAAGGAAACAGGUUAUAGGUCCAGACUUAGCAUAAAGUAACCAUUUCCUUAUGUGAGAUAUGGAGAAACUGAACACAGCUCCCUUAGAGCGGAAUAUGGCUAUGCACCAUGGCUUUAUGACAUCAUGGUUGUUAUAGUGUGAGGAGACAUAGGCACAAGUUUCUAAGGAUCAUGAAAUUUAUUUCUUCAUGUAUCAAGCUUUCCUACCAAUAAUAAGAAACAAAGCAUUGUAUCUUAGAUAAUUGUAAAAUAAUCAAAAUCAAAAAUGAAAUAAACAACAAAAAAUUGAGUGUAGAUCUUUAGUCUUUCUUAUGGGGUAUGGCAGAAUGAUUACAAUGGUAUCAGCGUAAUUUCUCCAUGUGUCAAUUUAACAUUCACAGGUUCCACAACUCAACUAUAGGGGUGCAACAAGACCUUGGACAAAGUGUCUACCUCAGUGGGACCCAUUAUGGUUUGGAUCAUGUUAUGUCGUAUACUUGGUUAUAAAACUUUGCACAUUACUGGGAAGUUGGAGAACCUGUAGGAGGAUGAUUUACUAGAAUAAAAAUAUGUUACCUGGGCUGUGCCCUUGAAGGUGAUGUUGGGCUCACGUACAACACCUCUCUCUCCUUAUCGGUUCUUUCUUAUAAUGAUGAAAAAUGCAUUGUUCUACCACACAUAAAAUGUCUUGAAUUAUAACCCUACUCCAAAGCACAAAUGCACUUAUGUCACUAUAUAACUCUCCUACAUUUUAACUAAUUUCUCAUGUAUUUGUCAUAAAAUGGAAACAUGUCACAGAAAUAUGAUCAUCAAUAUAUAGGUGCAGUGUCAUCAGAGUGACCUAAACAGUUCUCAUUUUUUAAUUCUUACCUCAUAAGUAUUAAAUAAUUUAAUAAAUAAUUUGAAAUACCAUACAACUUUGGAGACAAACUGUAAAGCCUAAUCAGAACUUGUCAAUUACUAAGAAGAUAUAUUUGUACAUAGUUUUUAAAAAAAUCUCAUAUGUGUGUUCAUGAAUGUAAAACUUUAAAACAUCAGCACAGCAAUAACAUCUGGUAAAGAACUGACUAGAGAUAUGAGGCUAUAAACUGAAAUGUUAAUUCUUUUUAUUCCAAUCUCAUCAGUAUACGUUCUAGUUAUAAAAAAAAAAUGGGCACAAAGAGCCACAAACUUGUCAUAAUAUCAACCACACCCUGAGUUCAACAUCACAAGUGAAAUUGGAAGUUUCUAGAUCACUUUAAAUUAAAUCGAUUAAUAAUACAUCAUGUUAAAAUGAAUUUUUCAUGAUUUGGAAGCUAAUGUUCUCAAUUAUUUAGCAAUGCAAAGUGUAGAAAACUCACACACAAACAGUAUGCAGGAGCUGAUCCGUGAACUUUCUCCUAAAGCAAGAUGAUAAAUGGCCCGUUUUCUAACAUAUUGAAGUGAUAUGGUAAUAUUUCAACUCUGAAAUCUUUCUUGAAUAGAACACCCAAUUGGAAUAUGUACAAUAGGUAAAGGAAAACAGAAAGUAUGAUUUAUUAUCCCAAACUUGAAUAUGCAUAUCCAAAUGUAUAUAAAUAAAUUAAUAAAUUAUUUAAACAUAUGGUUUUAUUGAAACCCAAAUCUGAGAAUGUUAAUUUCUUGAAACCUAAGGCAUCUGAAGAUCAUGGUACUAUUUUACUCCAAAUGAUCUACUUCAACACACUUUCCUUGUUACUUCAGUUUGCUUUUACAGCAGUUGUAUCUAUAUGGUGAUUCAAUCUUAGAGUUUUCUGUUCCUACAGAGUUCAAUGAAGAGCAGUAUAAAACAUACACUCCAUUACAUUGAAAAGAUCACGCCAUUACUGAAAGGAAAGCUGUUACAAAGACACUAGCAUAUUGGCAUGGAGAUAAAAGAUGAGUUACUUGAUUAGAAUCAUCCUCACUAUCCUGACAAAGUCCUUAGCAUGGCACCAUCACUAUAAACACUCCUUGUCAUCUAAAGGAGUUGUGUUCUUUUACAUAAUGACUGUGGAUGUUGAAAUCAAAUCCCAGGAGAGGUAAAACCCUGUGUUACCUACAAUAAAUGUAAGACACUUCUGCAUGCUAUAAAAUACUAACAUAAAAAGGUGCCUGAAAACAUUAUCUAACUCCAUUUCCUCAUACUGCGCCUAAGCCAACUCUGACUGUAGACAGUUUAGCUGCUUGCCUCAGGCUGUGUUGUUAGAGAAGCCAAGCACAAAAGGGAGAUUUAGUGGCAUCCUUUAAAAUGCUCACUGCAGGACAUAGUGAUUCCAUUCUUACAUUUCUGAACAAGAAAUAAGACAGCAAGACAAUACCCUGCAAAAGGAUAAGCAGAAACAUUUGCCCAGGGCUUUCCUCAGAUCUUUGAAGAGUUAGGGUGGAGUAGGGAGCUCAGAUCUCAGGUGCUUCAUACACAUCCCUUCAUAAGGUCUUUAAUUUAAAAAAAAUGUAAAGAGAAAAAAUAAACAGCUUUAUUCAGCUCACAUAGGACAAUUCUAUGUCAUGACCACAUCAUUAGUGGUAAGGUAUAGUAAGAAGAUUAUAUACUAGUGAUAAGGUAUAGUAUACACACUCUCUCUUGGGCAGGAUAAUUCCCAAAAAGAGAACAAAAUUCACUGGGACACUUUGGUAUCUGACAUUCUUGAGUUCCAGAGGAUACCUUCACAAAAUAACCCAAACCCACCUUUACAUUAUAUAGUUUAUUGUGUAGUCCAUAAUCAUAAGGUGUUCCUUUCAUUAUUCUUGGUAAUGUAAUACAUUUCUAUAAAGGUAUAACAUUUUGUAUAUUCAAAUAAAAAGAAGGAAAAUUAAGGCAAAUCCAGUAAUUUCAGAAGGAUCAAAAUGUUUAAGAAUGUGAGUCACACUCUGUCUCAUCUCUCACUACCGACAACACCUGCAGCAUGUGGAGCUGCUGUGUGCUCCUACAGUACAGUGCCACUUCUGCAAAGCAGCAAGUGAGGAGACUCCAGGGCUUCCCAUAACCUAGAAGAAAUCCAAAGACUGCCCAUGAAUACAUUUUGUUAAUUAAAGAGCCCCAAUUUGGGUCUAGGACAUCCUGACUAACACACACACACACACACACACACACACAUAUGAAAUGUAAGAAAAGUAUACUUUUCUUACAUUUCAGCUUCUCUAUUUAUUUAUAGGCUAUAAUCUAACUAGUGUUUUGUACAAGCUAUGUCUUCUUUCCUUCUGUCUAUCUGUAUGUCUGCCUUCCUUCCUUCUUUUUCUUUCUUUCUUUCUUUCUUUCUUUCUUUCUUUCUUUCUUUCUUUCUUUCUUUCCUUCCUUCCUUCCUUCCUUCCUUCCUUCCUUCCUUCCUCCUUCCUUCCUUCCUUCCUUCCUUCCUUCCUUCCUUCCUUCCUUCCUUUUCCUUCCUUUCUUCUUUCCUUUCUUCCUUCCUUCUAAGCGACAGUGCUCUGUUUUGGUUUAUCAUAAGUGGAUUGAGACAAUGCUGAAUCUGUGAAUGAAUCCUUUUCUCCAUUGGUGGCAUGAUCAUUCAGUUCUUAUCCUUAUAUUCUAGCAAGUUAUUUUCACUCCUUGUUUUAACUAAAGAACCCAACAACAUAAAAUGCCUUGCAUAUCUUAUUAUAGUGGAGAAUUUUAAUACUUUUUCAUUUAUCCCUGUAAAAACAUGGACAGUUUGGGUGUGUGUGUAUGUGUUUAUUUGUACAUAGCACCAGCUACAUUGUAGGGCAAUUUGUCCUUGAGUGGAUGUAAAUUCCUCUUCAAAAAAUGAAUCUUGAUAGUUUCCUUCAAGCCCAAUAUUAUGUUGUUUGAAUAAAGUUCUUGUGAUAAGACAGACAUAUUUAUAAUUUAUGAUCACAUUUGAUUGAAAAUAUAUGUAAAUUCUUUCAAGUAGUUUUGUCUACUGUUUAUGGAAAAAGUGAAGCCAUAUAAGUUCUGUAGUUUACACAAAAAAAGUCAUAAUUCAAUCAUUAUGUUUUCUAUCUAUACGAAAAAGAGUCCAUCCUGAAAACAUACUUAAGUCACAUGAGACCAACAGAGCAGGCUUUAUGUAGUAAUAUAUACGUAUGUGUUUAUAUAUAUAUAUAUAUAUAUAUAUAUAUAUAUAUAUAUAUAUAUGGACAAAUAAUGAAAAACAACCAUGAAUUAGAAAGAGAGGAAAGAGGGCAGGAAGAGAGGAAGUUUUCAAGGGCAGAAAGGGAAGGGAGAAAUGUUAUAAUUAUAGUAUAUUAAGAGGUUCAUUUGACAUAAACCAUUAUACUUGAAUUACAUGUAUACAAACACACACACACAUAUAUGAUAUAGAUAGAUAGAUAGAUAGAUAGAGAGAGAGAGAGAGAAAUAUAGUGUGCUAUUUUUCCUUUUUAUUUUUCAACUGUAUAUAACUGAUAUUUUAGAUUUUACUGAAUGCAAACUCAAUAAUGAGCAUUAAUCACCAUAUAUUUAAGGCUAGAUCAAAGGAAAAUAUCAUGGGAUGAUAUUUCAUAAGAUGUACAUCAAAGCAAGUUGAUUACAUUUUUCCUGAGUGUGACUCCCAGCCAUUAAAAAAAAGCAAUAUAUAUAUUGCUCCUACCAAACAUAUUUUGUAACAAAGAAAGGAACAAAUUACCAUAAAUCAGAAAGUUGAGGAGUGAGUAACCACCACAGCAACACUAAAACUUCACUCUGAUUUCCACUGAGCAGAGUGGAACUAUGGAUUCAUAAACAGGAACAUAUUUCUGUAUAAUUUUAUAAAUUUAUGUAAGAUGUAUGUUCAAGUCACUGCAAAUAUUUGUAAAGUUGAGUAGAAACAGUUCCGUUUAUAUUUAAUCUAGCCUCCCUCUUAAAUAUGUAGGGUGAUUAUUAUUAUUAACCUUUGCUUCUUUUAUAUUCUGAGCAAUCACUAUCUAUUUAAAAAUUUUAAAAUAGAAUUAUGUCUUUCCUUUCUUCAGGUCCUACCUUUUUCUGUUCCCUCAAAUGCCCCCAUCUCAAGUAACUCGCAUUCUUUUCUUUGAUUAUCAUUGUUAUAUUCAUGUAUUGAUUGUGUAUAUGUAUACAUAUAUGUAUAUGUAAUAUAUGUAUGUGUAUAUACACACACAGAGAGACACACACAUACAUACUUGCUGAGUCUGGUUUUGUUUCUACAUAUGUAAUUUUAGGGACUUUCUUAUUGGGCAAUCUAUAGAGGGACAUAUCCAUUAGAGAGGUUUAUUCUCAAUCCACCCACCCACUCCCAUCAGUAAUUAGUUGCCUGUAGUACUUUCUGUAAGAUAAAACCCAGGUAAACACCCCUGCUUCUAGAUUAACAAGUCCAUUGAUAUUGCCAUUGCUCAUGCCUUUUUUUUAUUUAAUGCAGUCAUUUCUAGGAGACACUCUUCCACAGCCGUUUUCCUUUCUGACCUCUUUGAUGAUGUUCCCUGAGCCAUAGAUAGUGUGUGGUGGUGUAGAUCUAUCCUUUGGACCCAGGGACCAUCUGUUAAUAUAAACAUUGCGUCCAAUUGUAGUUUUCGGUGAAAGUUUCUAUUUGCUGUAGAAUAGACCUCUUCAAUGUAGGUCACAGGUAUACAUGUCUGUGAAUAUAAUGAUAUGAUAAUGAUAAUGAUAUGAUUUAAAAUGCAGUAAGGACUUAAGCUGAUCUGGCAAAGUGCUGUUAAUGGAACGGGACCUCUAAGGUCCUAGCCCUAGGAAGAUGUCUAAGUCCCAAGUAGCAGGCAUAGAUGGUUUUCUUCCAGUUUGGUUAUUUUUAAUUGUGUAUAAGGGUGUGUAUGUGGCGGCAUGGGGGGUCAGGGUCUCUGUGUAUAUAUCUGUUUAUGGAUAUGUGUAAAUGAAUAUUGAGUCCAGCAGAAGCCAGAGGCUUUGAAUCCACUUAAGCUUGAGUAAGAGAAGGUUUGCUAGUCAUUCCACACGGAUGCUAAGAAUCAAGCUUGGGGACUGUGCAAAAUCUCAUACUGUGCAAAGCACUCUGAAGUACUUUCUUGAGUCAUCUUUCCAGUUCCACAAUUAAUAAUAUAUAGUAGUUUACUCACAAAUAAUUGUGUGAGUGUGAGUGUGUGUGUGUGUGUGUGUGUGUGUGUGUGUGUGUGUUUGCUUGACAAGGACAGAAAGUAUUUGGAUCCCCUUGAGAUGAAGUUACAACAGCUUUGUGAUGUCAAAACAGAAUGCAUUUAACUGAAUUCUGCUCUUCUGUAAGAGCAUCAAACAUGUGAACUUGAGGCAGAUUUCAGGGCCCCCAAGACCUCUUAAGUCAACUCCC
rnacentral:lncRNA from 1 species